rnacentral:tmRNA from 1 species
GGGGACGUUACGGAUUCGACAGGGAUAGUUCGAGCUUAAGUCGCGAGUCGAGGGGAUCGGCCUCGUUAAAACGUCAAAGCCUAUAACUGGCAAACAAAACAAUUUCGCUUUAGCUGCUUAAUAGCACCUAAAGGCCUCUCCUACCCAUCGCCCAUGUGGUUAGUUUAGAGAGGUUCACUUAUUAGUGGGCUACGCCGGAGUUCGCCGUCUGAGGGCAAAGGAAGAGAACAAUCAGACUAGCAAUUUGGAAGCCUGUCGAUAGGCCGAAAAAUUCGCGAAACGCUAAUAUAUCGACUACACUCGUAGAAGCUUAAGUGCCGAUAUUUCUGGACGUGGGUUCGACUCCCACCGUCUCCACCA